CAACUUUCAGCAAUGGAUCUCUUGGCUCUCGCAUCGAUGAAGAACGCAGCGAAAUGCGAUAAGUAAUGUGAAUUGCAGAAUUCAGUGAAUCAUCGAAUCUUUGAACGCACCUUGCGCUCCUUGGUAUUCCGAGGAGCAUGCCUGUUUGAGUGUCAUUAAU
rnacentral:rRNA from 1 species